CUUAGGUCAAAUUUGAAUCUCAAGGGGGAUACUUUUUGGUUACUUCUUCAUAUGAUAUGACAGCUAAGGUGUGGUCAUCUAGAGAUUUUAAGCCUGUAAAGACAUUAUCUGGUCAUGAAUCAAAGGUUACGUCACUUGAUGUUGUUGGAGAUGGACAAUGCAUUGCAACUGUUUCACACGAUCGUACAAUCAAGCUUUGGUGAGGCAAAGACGAUGAGAAAGAGAAGACAAUGGAUAUUGAUUAACAAGACUGCCACUUGAUUGAGGAAGGCUA